rnacentral:rRNA from 1 species
GAUGAACGCUGGCGGCGUGCCUAAUACAUGCAAGUCGAGCGAACAGACGAGGAGCUUGCUCCUCUGACGUUAGCGGCGGACGGGUGAGUAACACGUGGAUAACCUACCUAUAAGACUGGGAUAACUUCGGGAAACCGGAGCUAAUACCGGAUAAUAUAUUGAACCGCAUGGUUCAAUAGUGAAAGACGGUCUUGCUGUCACUUAUAGAUGGAUCCGCGCUGCAUUAGCUAGUUGGUAAGGUAACGGCUUACCAAGGCGACGAUGCAUAGCCGACCUGAGAGGGUGAUCGGCCACACUGGAACUGAGACACGGUCCAGACUCCUACGGGAGGCAGCAGUAGGGAAUCUUCCGCAAUGGGCGAAAGCCUGACGGAGCAACGCCGCGUGAGUGAUGAAGGUCUUCGGAUCGUAAAACUCUGUUAUUAGGGAAGAACAAAUGUGUAAGUAACUAUGCACGUCUUGACGGUACCUAAUCAGAAAGCCACGGCUAACUACGUG